rnacentral:rRNA from 1 species
UUGAUCCUGCCGGACCCGACUGCUAUCAGAGUGGGACUAAGCCAUGCGAGUCAACGUAGAAAUACGUGGCAUACGGCUCAGUAACACGUAGUCAACAUGCCCAGGGGACGUGGAUAACCUCGGGAAACUGAGGAUAAACCGCGAUAGGCCAUGAUUUCUGGAAUGGUUCAUGGCCGAAAUCUAUAUGGCCCCUGGAUUGGACUGCGGCCGAUCAGGCUGUUGGUGAGGUAAUGGCCCACCAAACCUGUAACCGGUACGGGCUCUGAGAGGAGGAGCCCGGAGAUGGGCACUGAGACAAGGGCCCAGGCCCUAUGGGGCGCAGCAGGCGCGAAAUCUCUGCAAUAGGCGAAAGCUUGACAGGGUUACUCUGAGUGGUUCCCGUUAAGGGGAUCUUUUGGCACCUUUAAAAAUGGUGCAGAGUAAGGGGUGGGCAAGUCUGGUGUCAGCCGCCGCGGUAAUACCAGCACCCCGAGUGGUCGGGACGAUUAUUGGGCCUAAAGCAUCCGUAGCCGGUACUGCAAGUCUUCCGUUAAAUCCACCUGCUUAACAGUUGGGCUGCGGGGGAUACUACAGCGCUAGGAGGCGGGAGAGGCAAGCGGUACUCAAUGGGUAGGGGUAAAAUCCGCUGAUCCAUUGAAGACCACCAGUGGCGAAGGCGGCUUGCCAGAACGCGCUCGACGGUGAGGGAUGAAAGCUGGGGGAGCAAACCGGAUUAGAUACC